CCCCAGUAACGGCGAGUGAACCGGCAUCAGCUCGUUUUUGAAAUCUACGGAAUUGUAACGGACGCCUUGGCCCCAGCAAAAGUCCAUUGGAAUAUGGCGCCAUAGAGGGUGACAGCCCCUUAACGCUCUGCCUCUAGGCCCCACCCGAGUCGAGUUGUUUGGGAAUGCAGCUCAAACAGGUGGUAAACGCCAUCUAAAGCUAAAUAUCACCUAGAGACCGAUAGCGAACAAGUACAGUGAUGGAAAGAUGAAAAGCACUUUGAAAAGAGAGUGAAACAGUACGUGAAAUUGUUGAAAGGGAAGGACUUGCAAUCAGACACGGAAACGGGCCAACAUCGGGUGGAGCGGAAGUAGAAAUGG
rnacentral:rRNA from 2 species